rnacentral:rRNA from 1 species
GACGAACGCUGGCGGCGUGCCUAAUACAUGCAAGUAGAACGCUGGAGGAGGAGCUUGCUUCUCUGGAUGAGUUGCGAACGGGUGAGUAACGCGUAGGUAACCUGCCUGGUAGCGGGGGAUAACUAUUGGAAACGAUAGCUAAUACCGCAUAAUAUUGACUAUUGCAUGAUAGUCAGUUGAAAGGUGCAACUGCACCACUACCAGAUGGACCUGCGUUGUAUUAGCUAGUUGGUGGGGUAACGGCUCACCAAGGCGACGAUACAUAGCCGACCUGAGAGGGUGAUCGGCCACACUGGGACUGAGACACGGCCCAGACUCCUACGGGAGGCAGCAGUAGGGAAUCUUCGGCAAUGGACGGAAGUCUGACCGAGCAACGCCGCGUGAGUGAAGAAGGUUUUCGGAUCGUAAAGCUCUGUUGUAAGAGAAGAACGAGUGUGAGAGUGGAAAGCUCACACUGUGACGGUAUCUGACCAGAAAGGGACGGCUAACUACGUG